rnacentral:rRNA from 1 species
CCUACGGGGGGCUGCAGUGAGGAAUAUUGGUCAAUGGGCGCAAGCCUGAACCAGCCAUCCCGCGUGAAGGAAGAAGGCGCUAUGCGUCGUAAACUUCUUUUCCAGGAGAAGAAAACCCCCGACGUGUCGGGGCUUGCCGGUAUCUUGGGAAUAAGCAUCGGCUAACUCCGUGCCAGCAGCCGCGGUAAUACGGAGGAUGCGAGCGUUAUCCGGAUUUAUUGGGUUUAAAGGGUGCGUAGGCGGAUUGAUAAGUCAGCGGUGAAAACCUUCAGCUUAACUGGAGAAUUGCCGUUGAUACUGUUAGUCUUGAGUAUGGUCAAGGUAGGCGGAAUGUGUAAUGUAGCGGUGAAAUGCUUAGAUAUUACACAGAACACCGAUUGCGAAGGCAGCUUACUGGGCCAUAACUGACGCUGAGGCACGAAAGCGUGGGGAGCGAACAGGCUUAGAUACCCUGGUAGUC